GUCGGAGUGCCGGAGUGGUUAACGGGUGUGACUCGAAAUAUCACAUGCUUUCGGGCGCGCAGGGUAAGCAUUAUUCUUAUAGUCAGUCAUGACCUCCACUAACGGCUGAUAGUUCGAGUCCUGUCUCCGACG